UACGUAGGGUGCAAACGUUAUCCGGAUUUACUGGGCGUAAAGAGCUCGUAGGUGGUUUGAAAAGUUGGAUAUGAAAGACCCAGGCUCAACUUGGGGAACGUAUCCAAAACUCUCUUACUAGAGGUAUGCAGGGGAAGAUGGAACACACGGUGUAGCAGUGAAAUGCGUAGAUAUCGUGUGGAGCGCCAAUGGUGAAGACAGUCUUCUGGGCAUUACCUGACACUGAGGAGCGAAAGCGUGGGGAGCGAACAGG
rnacentral:rRNA from 1 species